rnacentral:rRNA from 1 species
GGCGCUGUUGCAGUUAAACGUCCGGAGUCGAGACGUCCAAGCCGGGAGGAAAGAGGAGUGCACAAGACAAGGGGUUGAACGAGAAAGCCCGGGACGGACAGAAAAGGUGAAUGGGGCAAGGACAUGCGUAUUGGUGGGGGACGGGUGAAAUAGGAUGAUCCGACCAAGACGGACGAAGGCGUAAGCACUAGUCAAGGCCAUGUCAGUCGAACCAGGACGAAGGCCGGGGGCGAGAAGGCGAUUAGACACCACCGUAUUCCCGGGCGUAAACGAUGCCACCGAGAACCCGGUACGAAAUCGGGGUCGAAGGGAAACCGCUCAGGGUACGGGCUCUGGGGGGAGUAUGGCCGCAAGGCUGGAACUUGAAGGCAUUGACGGAGGGGUACCACCAGACGUGGAGUCUGCGGCUCAAUUUGACUCAACGCGAACACCUUACCAGGCCCAGACGUAUGGAGGAUCGACAGUCGGAAGGACUUCCGUGAUCAUGCGAGUGGUGGUGCAUGGCCGUUCACAGCCCGUGGCAUGAGCCGUCUGCUUGACUGCGACAACGAGCGAGACCCCAACCGUGAUGGGACUGCCGAUGGCGAAUCGGAGGAAGGCGGGGCGAUAACAGGUCUGUGAUGCCCUUAGACGCCCUGGGCUGCACGCGUACUACACUGUGACGGGAAAUGCCCUACCCCUCGUGACGGGGGGUGGGUGGUUAACACGUCACGUGGUUGGGAUCGUGGGCUGGAAGUGUCCACGUGAACCCGGAAUGUCUAGUAGCGUAGUCAGCAUUCUACGCCGGAUACGUCCCUGCCCCUUGUACACACCGCCCGUCGCUCCUACCGACUGGGUGUCAUGGCGAGGCCUUCCUUCGUUUGAG